rnacentral:rRNA from 1 species
UUGGAGGGCAAGUCUGGUGCCAGCAGCCGCGGUAAUUCCAGCUCCAAUAGCGUAUAUUAAAGUUGUUGCAGUUAAAAAGCUCGUAGUUGAAUUUCGGGAUCAAUAUUUCGGUCAUGCCGUUGGUAUGCACUGUUAUCAUUGAUUCCUCACCUUCUAAAGAACCGUAAUGCCAUUAAUUUGGUGUUACGGGGAAUUAGGACUGUUACCUUGAAAAAAUUAGAGUGUUUAAAGCAGGCUCACGCUUGAAUACAUUAGCAUGGAAUAAUGAAAUAGGACAUCCGAUUCUAUUUUGUUGGUUUCUAGGAUCGAUGUAAUGAUUAAUAGGGAUAGUUGGGGGCAUUAGUAUUCAAUUGUCAGAGGUGAAAUUCUUGGAUUUAUUGAAGACUAACUACUGCGAAAGCAUUUGCCAAGGAUGUUUUCAUUAAUCAAGAACGAAAGUUAGGGGAUCGAAGACGAUCAGAUACCGUCGUAGUCUUAACCAUAAACUAUGCCGACUAGGGAUCGGAUGAUGUUAAUUUUUUAAUGACUCAUUCGGCGCCUUACGGGAAAC